GGUGCAUGCGAAGGCGCAAGCCGCUGUAUAUGCACUGACGCCUGCCCGGUGCCGGAAGGUUAAGAGGAUCCGUCAGCCUUCGGGUGAAGCGGUGAAUUCAAGCCCCGGUAAACGGCGGUGGUAACUAUAACCAUCCUAAGGUAGCGAAAUUCCUUGUCGGGUAAGUUCCGACCUGCACGAAUGGCGUAACGACUUCCCCACUGUCUCGACCAGGAGCUCGGCGAAAUUGCAGUACGAGUAAAGAUGCUCGUUAAGCGCAGAAGGACGAAAAGACCCCGGGACCUUUACUAUACCUUGGUAUUGGCAUUCGGUGUGGAUUGUGUAGCAUAGGCGGGAGGCCGAGAGGCGCGGUCGCCAGAUCGCGCGGAGCCGUAAGGUGAAAUACCGCUCUGUUCGCAUUGGAUGUCUAACCUCGAACAGUCAUCCUGUUCAGGGACAGUGCCUGGCGGGUAGUUUAACUGGGGCGGUUGCCUCCCAAAGAGUAACGGAGGCGCCCAAAGGUCCGCUCAGCCCGGUUGGCAAUCGGGUGGCGAGUGCAAGUGCACAAGCGGGCUUGACUGCGAGGACGACGGUCCGAGCAGGGACGAAAGUCGGGACUAGUGAUCCGGUGCCGGUGUACGGACGCGGCAUCGCUCAACGGAUAAAAGGUACCCCGGGGAUAACAGGCUGAUCAUUCCCAAGAGUCCAUAUCGACGGGAUGGUUUGGCACCUCGAUGUCGGCUCGUCGCAUCCUGGGGCUGGAGCAGGUCCCAAGGGUUCGGCUGUUCGCCGAUUAAAGCGGCACGCGAGCUGGGUUCAGAACGUCGUGAGACAGUUUGGUCUCUAUCCUCUGCGCUCGUUGGAAUGCUGAGGAGGCCUGCCCAUAGUACGAGAGGACCUGGGUGGACGAACCUCUGGUAUGCCGGUUGUCACGCCAGUGGCACGGCCGGUUGGCUACGUUCGGAAGGGAUAACCGCUGAAAGCAUCUAAGCGGGAAGCCUGCUCCAAGAUAAGCAUUCCGUGGAACCUUCGAGUUCCUGUAGUCCCCAUGCAGAACACGUGGUCGAUAGGCCGGACGUGGAAGCCCCGCGAGGGGUGGAGCCGACCGGUACUAACGGACGAAAGGCA
rnacentral:rRNA from 1 species